rnacentral:rRNA from 1 species
GAGGUGGUGCAUGGCGUCGUCAGUUCGUACUGUGAAGCAUCCUGUUAAGUCAGGCAACGAGCGAGACCCACGUCCACAGUUGCCAGCAUACCCUCCGGGGUGAUGGGUACACUGUGGAGACCGCCGCUGCUAAAGCGGAGGAAGGAGUGGGCAACGGUAGGUCAGUAUGCCCCGAAUCUCCCGGGCUACACGCGGGCUACAAUGGUUGGUACAAUGGGCAUCUACCCCGAAAGGGGAAGGAAAUCUCUUAAAGCCAAUCGUAGUUCGGAUUGAGGGCUGCAACUCGCCCUCAUGAAGCUGGAAUCCGUAGUAAUCGCGUUUCAACAGAACGCGGUGAAUACGUCCCUGCUCCUU